rnacentral:rRNA from 1 species
AGAGUUUGAUCCUGGCUCAGAAUCAACGCUGGCGGCGUGCCUAACACAUGCAAGUCGCACGAGAAAGUGGAGCAAUCCAUGAGUAAAGUGGCGUACGGGUGAGUAACACGUGACUAACCUACCUUCGAGUGGGGAAUAACCUCGGGAAACCGGGGCUAAUACCGCAUAACAUCUUCUGGCUGAGAUGCCGGUUGAUCAAAGUAGCAAUGCGCUUGAAGAGGGGGUCGCGGCUGAUUAGCUAGUUGGUGAGGUAACGGCUCACCAAGGCGAUGAUCAGUAGCCGGCCUGAGAGGGCGCUCGGUCACACUGGAACUGAAACACGGUCCAGACUCCUACGGGAGGCAGCAGUGGGGAAUUUUGCGCAAUGGGGGAAACCCUGACGCAGCAACGCCGCGUGGAGGAUGAAGUCCCUUGGGACGUAAACUCCUUUCGAUCGGGACGAUUAUGACGGUACCGGAAGAAGAAGCCCCGGCUAACUUCGUGCCAGCAGCCGCGGUAAUACGAGGGGGGCAAGCGUUGUUCGGAAUUAUUGGGCGUAAAGGGCGCGUAGGCGGUGCGGUAAGUCUGUUGUGAAAUCUCCGGGCUCAACUCGGAGCUUGCAUCAGAAACUGCCGUGCUUGAGUGUGGGAGAGGUGAGUGGAAUUCCCGGUGUAGCGGUGAAAUGCGUAGAUAUCGGGAGGAACACCCGUGGCGAAAGCGGCUCACUGGACCACAACUGACGCUGAUGCGCGAAAGCUAGGGGAGCAAACAGGAUUAGAUACCCUAGUAGUCC